rnacentral:rRNA from 1 species
GGCUCAGGACGAACGCUGGCGGCGUGCCUAAUACAUGCAAGUCGAGCGGACAGAAGGGAGCUUGCUCCCGGAUGUUAGCGGCGGACGGGUGAGUAACACGUGGGUAACCUGCCUGUAAGACUGGGAUAACUCCGGGAAACCGGAGCUAAUACCGGAUAGUUCCUUGAACCGCAUGGUUCAAGGAUGAAAGACGGUUUCGGCUGUCACUUACAGAUGGACCCGCGGCGCAUUAGCUAGUUGGUGAGGUAACGGCUCACCAAGGCGACGAUGCGUAGCCGACCUGAGAGGGUGAUCGGCCACACUGGGACUGAGACACGGCCCAGACUCCUACGGGAGGCAGCAGUAGGGAAUCUUCCGCAAUGGACGAAAGUCUGACGGAGCAACGCCGCGUGAGUGAUGAAGGUUUUCGGAUCGUAAAGCUCUGUUGUUAGGGAAGAACAAGUGCAAGAGUAACUGCUUGCACCUUGACGGUACCUAACCAGAAAGCCACGGCUAACUACGUGCCAGCAGCCGCGGUAAUACGUAGGUGGCAAGCGUUGUCCGGAAUUAUUGGGCGUAAAGGGCUCGCAGGCGGUUUCUUAAGUCUGAUGUGAAAGCCCCCGGCUCAACCGGGGAGGGUCAUUGGAAACUGGGAAACUUGAGUGCAGAAGAGGAGAGUGGAAUUCCACGUGUAGCGGUGAAAUGCGUAGAGAUGUGGAGGAACACCAGUGGCGAAGGCGACUCUCUGGUCUGUAACUGACGCUGAGGAGCGAAAGCGUGGGGAGCGAACAGGAUUAGAUACCCUGGUAGUCCACGCCGUAAACGAUGAGUGCUAAGUGUUAGGGGGUUUCCGCCCCUUAGUGCUGCAGCUAACGCAUUAAGCACUC